rnacentral:rRNA from 1 species
UACGUAGGGUGCAAGCGUUAAUCGGAAUUACUGGGCGUAAAGCGCACGUAGCGGAUGUGCCAGUCAGGGGUGAAAUCCCGGAGCUCAACUCCGGAACUGCCUCUGAUACAGCACGUCUUGAGUUCGAGAGAGGUGGGUGGAAUUCCUGGUGUAGCGGUGGAAUGCGCAGAUAUCAGGAGGAACACCGAUGGCGAAGGCAGGUCUCUGGGCAUUAACUGACGCUGAGGAGCGAAAAGCAUGGGGGAGCGAACAGG